rnacentral:rRNA from 1 species
GUCUGCAUGGAGCCGACCUUGAAAUACCACCCUUUAAUGUUUGAUGUUCUAACGUGGACCCGUAAUCCGGGUUGCGGACAGUGUCUGGUGGGUAGUUUGACUGGGGCGGUCUCCUCCUAAAGAGUAACGGAGGAGCACGAAGGUUGGCUAAUCCUGGUCGGACAUCAGGAGGUUAGUGCAAUGGCAUAAGCCAGCUUGACUGCGAGCGUGACGGCGCGAGCAGGUGCGAAAGCAGGUCAUAGUGAUCCGGUGGUUCUGAAUGGAAGGGCCAUCGCUCAACGGAUAAAAGGUACUCCGGGGAUAACAGGCUGAUACCGCCCAAGAGUUCAUAUCGACGGCGGUGUUUGGCACCUCGAUGUCGGCUCAUCACAUCCUGGGGCUGAAGUAGGUCCCAAGGGUAUGGCUGUUCGCCAUUUAAAGUGGUACGCGAGCUGGGUUUAGAACGUCGUGAGACAGUUCGGUCCCUA